AACGUAGGUUCCGAGCGUUAUCCGGAAUUACUGGGCGUAAAGCGCGUGUAGGCGGUUGCCCAAGUCGGGUGUGAAAGCCUUGAGCUCAACUCAAGAAAUGCACUCGGUACUGGGUGACUAGAGGACCGGAGAGGAUAGUGGAAUUCCCAGUGUAGUGGUGAAAUACGUAGAGAUUGGGAAGAACACCAGUGGCGAAGGCGGCUAUCUGGACGGUUUCUGACGCUAAGACGCGAAAGCGUGGGGAGCAAACAGG
rnacentral:rRNA from 1 species